UUAAGUCAGGGGUGAAAGCCCGAGGCUCAACUUCGGGAUUGCCUUUGAAACUAGUGCUCUUGAGUGUAGUCGAGGACGGCGGAAUGAGUUAUGUAGCGGUGAAAUGCAUAGAUAUAACUCAGAACACCAAUUGCGAAGGCAGCUGUCUAGGCUAUAACUGACGCUGAGGCACGAAAGCGUGGGGAGCGAACAGGAUUAGAUACCCUGGUAGUCCACGCUGUAAACUAUGAUCACUCGCUGUUGGCGAUAUACAGUCAGCGGCUGAGCGAAAGCAUUAAGUGAUCCACCUGGGGAGUACGUCGGCAACGAUGAAACUCAAAGGAAUUGACGGGGGCCCGCACAAGCGGAGGAACAUGUGGUUUAAUUCGAUGAUACGCGAGGAACCUUACCUGGGCUUAAAUGUAGAGUGCAUGGGAGGGAAACCUUCCUUUCCUUCGGGACUCUUUACAAGGUGCUGCAUGGUUGUCGUCAGCUCGUGCCGUGAGGUGUCGGGUUAAGUCCCAUAACGAGCGCAACCCCUAUCGUUAGUUGCCAUCAGGUCAUGCUGGGACUCUAGAGAGACUGCCGGUGUAAACCGGAGGAAGGUGGGGAUGACGUCAAAUCAGCACGGCCCUUACGCCCAGGGCUACUCACGUGUUACAAUGGCCGAUACAAAGAGCAGCUACCUGGCAACAGGGUGCUAAUCUCUAAAGUCAGUCCCAGUUCGGAUCGAAGUCUGCAAUUCGACUUCGUGAAGGUGGAUUCGCUAGUAAUCGCGCAUCAGCCAUGGCGCGGUGAAUAAGUUC
rnacentral:rRNA from 1 species